rnacentral:rRNA from 1 species
GAUAAACGCUGGCGGCGCACAUAAGACAUGCAAGUCGAACGGACUUAACCAUUAGUUUACUAUUGGAGCGGUUAGUGGCGGACUGGUGAGUAACACGUAAGCAACCUGCCUAUCAGAGGGGAACAACAGUUAGAAAUGACUGCUAAUACCGCAUAUGCCUUAGCAACGCAUGUUGCAAAAGGGAAAGGAGCAAUCCGCUGAUAGAUGGGCUUGCGUCUGAUUAGAUAGUUGGUGGGGUAACGGCCUACCAAGUCGACGAUCAGUAGCCGGACUGAGAGGUUGAACGGCCACAUUGGGACUGAGAUACGGCCCAG